UACGGAGGGUGCAAGCGUUAUCCGGAAUCACUGGGUUUAAAGGGUGCGUAGGCGGUCUAAUAAGUCAGUCGUGAAAUCGCUGGGCUCAACCCAUGCAAUUGCGAUUGAUACUGCUAGACUUGAAUGGGGUUGAGGCUGGCGGAAUGCGACAUGUAGCGGUGAAAUGCUUAGAUAUGUCGCAGAACACCGAUUGCGAAGGCAGCCAGCUGGGCCUUUAUUGACGCUGAGGCACGAAAGCGUGGGGAGCAAA
rnacentral:rRNA from 1 species